rnacentral:lncRNA from 10 species
GGGGGCGGGAGCCUGAGGAGAAGGGAGGGAGGGGCCGGCCGGGAGCGGGGUUGAGGCGGGUGGGCGGCCCGGGGGCCGCGCGGGGAGCGGCUGGCGCGUGCGGGGCGGCCCUGUCGCCCCAAUAAAGUCUGCUUUGACGAGAACUCCCGAGUAGCUGGGACCAUAGGCCCGCACCACCACACCUGGCUAAUUUUUGUAUUUUUAUUAGAGAUGGGGUAUUGCCAUGGGUGGCCAGGCUGGUCUUGAACUCCUGACCUCAAAUGAUCCACCCACCUCGGCCUCCCAAAAUGCUGGGAUUACAGGAGUGAGCCACCGCGCCUGGCGAUCACUUGCUUUUUGAUUCAUGCAAAAACGUGAAGUUUAAAGUACCAUGGCAGAGGGGAAUUCUGUGUGAUGUUGCUUGACCAUUUCUUAGUCACUACAACCUCCGUCUUCUGGGCUCAAGCGAUUCUCACUGCGGUGAGCCGAGAUCA